GGGCCUGUAGUCUAAUGGACAGGAUAAACGGUUUCGGCCCGUUUGAUCAGGGUUCGAAUCCCUGCAGGCCCG
rnacentral:tRNA from 2 species